rnacentral:misc_RNA from 1 species
AGCCAAAUGAUCCUUGAGCUAGAUUUUGAAUAUUCACUAUUUUUGUGUUGAAAAAGAUUUGUUUUACAUUUACUACAAACCAUAAUCCAAACAAUUUGAAUAAUAAUUUUCUCAACAUAUUCAGGUACUCAGCAUUCAGGAUUUUUCUCCUUUUCUUGGUUACAGAGAGUGGGAAGGUGAAAUUCGAAUUUGGGUGAUUACCCAAUUUGCAGAUGCUCUCACUACUCAUGAUACCAUCCACAAGAAAAUGGUUGACCAUAAUGUUAGUGAAACCGAAGCCAAAGCAUAUGCCCACAACAUUAUAACAGAACAUUCACUUUGUCCAGUUCCAAACAACUGAGUCAUUGUGCCUAUAUUCAUUGCUGGUGGGACGGCAAAUUGCAGCAGAAGAAUAAAUUGAUAUAAGGGAUCUGAAUGCACCAGACCAAAACGCACUGCACUUUUUACUGUGAUAAUGCCCAGAAGAGGCAGGAAAAUGUACCUAACUGCUAAUAUUCCAACUAUGAGAGUGAAACGAAUUCCCGACCCUUUUAAACCACUAAGAAGGUUUCCUCCAACUAUCAGGGUCACAAUUGGAAUGGCUGCAUCCCUGCAAUCGCAAAUUAGGUACAACAAAAAGAUGACUACUAUUACACAAUUUCUAUUAUUGAUAAACAAAUUUAGAAUCUCAGGCCUGGAAGUCAGGAUUUAUACCCAAGUAAAAAAGCAGAGUCUUCAACUGCACGAAGAGGGGCACCAGCUCCAAUCAACAGCUUUCGAAUUUGAGGGACCAAUCCGAUGACAAACCCGACAACCUAUGCUAUCAGAAGAUACUAUGAAAGCCAGUUCAAACAAGUCUUGUUUAAUUUAGUAAGGGAAUAGGGGAUACCGCUCCAGUAGUUGAAGGUGCAAGCAAUGACUUGAGAUUAAGUUUUUCUGAAAUCAUUCUUAUGCAUUUCUUGAUCUUGUCCCAAACCAUUUGUGUGCAGGAGAAAGUCUUGGCAUUUGUUUGAGACUCUAUGUUAUCAGGAAGCAAUAAGCCAUAUGUAAGCUCUUUGGAAUUGUAAUUAUUCUCCUGGAUGAAUUUUGGUGUUCCUCCAUUGGCCUUCAUGUCGACAUUAGCAACUUCUUUGUUCAUCUCACUUGAGCAAAUCCUUAUAAUGUUAUAAACAUAAGACCACAAAUAAACUGCACCUAUCUGAAGAGUAUCAAAAAAUGGAAUUUCUCGGUCAACAUAGUCAGGCCAAACAAGGAAAAAGGAAACUAAAAAUCCAUGCAGUAUAAAAAUCAAAUCAUAGUCAUCUGCUAGGAAAGCAUAAGCAGGACAUGGGAUGAUACAGUUCCUGACAACCAAAUCAAUUACUUGCUUUCAGCUUGUCAGAAAUAAGGUGGAACAAAAAACGAGCGAAAUAUAUAAAUAAUCAGAAGAUCAUUGACGGGUUAUGCUUCGCUUUAACAGGAAAUAUCAGAAUCAAUAUCAUACCGCCAUUGAAAGUGAAGCGUAAGCAAUUCCAUUUGUGUAGCAAACAUCAGGGGGUCCAAAUGGACUGCCUUUCUCCUUACAGAUUGCUGGGAUGAUGAUUAAAGGCAAAUUUCCCAUGUUUCCUGCUGCACAGCAACCCAAAAUGAGACCUUUUAGAGGUUUUGGAGGGCCUGUGAUUUUUACAAGUAUCCAUCCCAAUGCUGAGCCAAUAAUAAAUGUGACAAGGAUAUUGAAUGGCAUAAACCACAACAACUCCAUGCUUUCAAUGGUAAUUGUAUUAGCCAAGUUGCUACCCACUAGUGCUGGGUUAAACACAUAGAAAACAACUUGAUUUAUUUGCUUCCUUGUAUCCUCCCCCAAGAUAUUGACAUUGUCCAAUGCCAAAAACGAGCCAAGUCCUGUGAGUAAGAGUACUUUCAGAACUGGCAUAGAAGCAAUGACAAAUAGGUCCAGGAGGCGCAUGGUGACUGUUGCUCCUUAAUUCUUUGUGGGUGGAGAGUUUUUUUAAGAGGAGAAGGAAAGGGAAUAUUCCGUUGAAGGGAGGAGGAAGUCGAACAGGAGAUUGAUAAAGUAAGAGAAAGCAUUGGAAGAAAAUGGUAACAAGUAGGCGGCUUUCAAAAGAGGAGAUAGUGGCACUGGUUUGGUAUAGUUUAAACUUUUAUAUUUAUUUUGUAAGAUUCCCAAUUGUUUUAAAUUCCUUUUGGGAACCAAAGACAAGAACAGUGAGGAGAUGAAAGAUGCUCCAAAUCUUAUUUCUUUUCUAAAUGCUAGAAUACCAUGAUAAUGAAAAAUGGCACUCUGGGGGUUGCCAUCACUUAAUGGCUUUUUCUAGCUUGUAAGCUUAAAAACCCAUAUCAU